rnacentral:rRNA from 1 species
UAGGGUCGAAAUGCAACUAAGCCGUCAUAAGCCCAAGAUGUACUUAAGAUCUUCAUUAAGAUGACCUAGCAUUCUUGACUAAUUUAACUCCACGAAAGCUAGGGCACAAACUGGGAUUAGAUACCCCAUUAUGCCUAGCCCUAAAUCUUGAUGUUUACCAUACUAAAGCAUCCGCCUGAGAACUACGAGCACAAACGCUUAAAACUCUAAGGACUUGGCGGUGCCCCAAACCCACCUAGAGGAGCCUGUUCUGUAAUCGAUAACCCACGAUUCACCCAACCACCCCUCGCCAAGGCAGCCUACAUACCGCCGUCGCCAGCUCACCUUCAUUGAGAGCCAAACAGUGAGCACAAUAGCUCAACUCGCUAGCAAGACAGGUCAAGGUAUAGCCCAUGGGGUGGAAGAAAUGGGCUACAUUUUCUAUAAUAGAAAACCCACGAAAGGAGGCAUGAAACAGCUCCGGAAGGCGGAUUUAGCAGUAAAGCGGACAAUAGAGCCCCCUUUAAGUUGGCCCUGGGCACGUACAUACCGCCCGUCACCCUCC